UACGAAGGGGACUAGCGUUGUUCGGAAUCACUGGGCGUAAAGCGCACGUAGGCGGAUUUGUAAGUCAGGGGUGAAAUCCCGGGGCUCAACCUCGGAACUGCCUUUGAUACUGCGAAUCUUGAGUCCGAUAGAGGUGGGUGGAAUUCCUAGUGUAGAGGUGAAAUUCGUAGAUAUUAGGAAGAAACACCAGUGGCGAAGGCGGCCCACUGGAUCGGUACUGACGCUGAGGUGCGAAAGCGUGGGAGCAAACAGGAUUGAGAUACCGGU
rnacentral:rRNA from 1 species